rnacentral:rRNA from 1 species
CCUACGGGGGGCUGCAGUCGAGAAUAUUCCACAAUGGACGCAAGUCUGAUGGAGCGACGCCGCGUGCAGGAUGACGGCCUUCGGGUUGUAAACUGCGGUAGCUAGGGAAGAACUUUGUGACGGUACCUAGCGGAAAGAGGCGGGUAACUACGUGCCAGCACCAGCGGUAAUACGUAGGCCUCAAGCGUUAUCCGGAUUUAUUGGGCGUAAAGAGCAUGUAGGAGGCUUUUCAAGUCUUUGGUUAAAGACCACCGCCUAACGGUGGGAGUGCCGAG